rnacentral:rRNA from 1 species
AUUGAACGCUGGCGGCAUGCUUUACACAUGCAAGUCGAACGGCAGCGCGGGCUUCGGCCUGGCGGCGAGUGGCGAACGGGUGAGUAAUGCAUCGGAACGCGCCCAGUAGUGGGGGAUAGCCCGGCGAAAGCCGGAUUAAUACCGCAUACGACCUGAGGGUGAAAGCGGGGGACCGAAAGGCCUCGCGCUAUUGGAGCGGCCGAUGUCGGAUUAGCUAGUUGGUGGGGUAAAGGCUUACCAAGGCGACGAUCCGUAGCUGGUCUGAGAGGACGACCAGCCACAAUGGGACUGAGACACGGCCCAGACUCCUACGGGAGGCAGCAGUGGGGAAUUUUGGACAAUGGGGGCAACCCUGAUCCAGCCAUGCCGCGUGCGGGAAGAAGGCCUUCGGGUUGUAAACCGCUUUUGUUCGGGAAGAAAUCCUCUGGGCUAAUACCCCGGGGGGAUGACGGUACCGGAAGAAUAAGCACCGGCUAACUACGUG